CAAUAGGUGCAUGUUUCUGGGGGAUUCCCAUGAUGCAGAUCCAGUGAAAGUAGUUCUGGCAUGUGACAAGGAUUCCACCUGGGCGUCUCCCAGGUGAGGUGUACUGGCUGUGUCCAACCAGCGGGAGGCCCUGGAUCAGACCCAGGACCUGAUGGAGUUCCCCUGGAUAAGCUGGAGGAGGUGGCUGUGGAGAGGGAGGUCUGGAGUUCUCUGCUUAGGCUGCUUCUCCCACAACCUGGCCACAGAUAAAUGAAAUAAGUAGACUAAAUAUAGCUUUUUAUUCUAAAGAAUGUGGUUGUUUCCUUGCAGGACACCAGGAGAGAUGAGCAUAUCCAGCCCACAUCUGCAGCAACUGUACUUAAGGGAAGUUGGGACAAUGUUAAAGACUUUCUCCACGCAACUGCACUUGGAUUAGCUAAAUUCAUGACAGGCAUUCAAGCAGUAAUGUCUGGACUGACAACCAAACAUACCAAGCUUCUGUGGUUGAGCCAGAGACUGCACUUGUGGAUGAACAAUACAAACAUAUUAUAUUUAUUAUAUCAGUAAUGUAACUUGCAACAAAAAGUUAUGGGAAGCUUAAACUUAGUUUCAGAAUAAUUAAAUCUGAGACUGGUACAGUUAGCAAAGUGUGAUCCACUGAACAAAGUGAGGAAGCUGAUCCACUUUGACAUGUCUGUUGUGAAAAGACUUUAUUGGAUUCCUACAUCCAGGUAGGUCUGGAUAGCUGCUUGUCCCUUAAAAAUAAUUCUUCAUUUAAAACCUGCAUUUUGUAUACACUCAGAUCUUGGUCUAUUAUUAAAAGUGUGAUAUUUAACAACAACAAAUAUAUAUUAAUAUUAUAUUUAUAUUUUAUAAUUUUUUUAAGUCUACGUAAAUAUCACAUCAUCAUCAACCCGUCCCUUCAUCUGGUUUUGUUGACUGUGGAGAACAGUGCACAUGGAGACUCUCCUGUUUCCUGACUUCUGUCUCUGAAAACAGAGAAGAAGAUUUCAUGAUUUGGAGGAUAUAGCAUCAACUGAAAUCAUUUCCAUUAAUGGUGAAAAAGAACAGUAAAAGCAGUGAGUUUGUUUCUUAGACAUGAGAGGACAGUCUCUCUCACCUCUUGGCUGCACUGCCUCUGUUAAAUCUAACAGCAGUGUACUCAGUAACUUCCUGUUCCUGCAUUUGUCUGUGAGGCUGAGCUGCUCUGAUGUUGGAGUAGAGAGGAUCUGCCUGGUUAUUGGAGAAGUGGAUGCUGGUGUACUGAAGAUCAUCCUGCUCCUCUGGCUGUCUCUGGUCAGGUAAACACUGUAUAGGAAAAGAGAUCUCAGCUACAAAUGUGAUCAAAUGUAUUUGAGUUAAAGAACAACAGCAAAGAAGGAUUUGGGAGUCCACCAGGAAGUUUAAAA